rnacentral:rRNA from 1 species
UACGUAGGUGGCAAGCGUUGUCCGGAUUUACUGGGCGUAAAGGGCGCGUAGGCGGUCUUGUCAGUCCCUUGUGAAAUCCCCCGGCUCAACUGGGGAACUGCACGGGAAACAGCAGGGCUUGAGUAUGGGAGAGGUAAGCGGAAUUCCUGGUGUAGCGGUGAAAUGCGUAGAUAUCAGGAGGAACACCUGUGGUGUAGACAGCUUACUGGACCAUAACUGACGCUGAGGCACGAAAGCGUGGGUAGCAAACAGG